rnacentral:misc_RNA from 1 species
GAUGAAGAACGCAGCGAAAUGCGAUAAGUAAUGUGAAUUGCAGAAUUCAGUGAAUCAUCGAAUCUUUGAACGCACAUUGCGCCCCUUGGUAUUCCGAGGGGCAUGCCUGUUCGAGCGUCAUUAUAACCCCUCAAGCUCAGCUUGGUGUUGGGGCCUGCUGCACUGGCAGCCCUUAAAAUCAGUGGCGGCGCCAUCUGGCUCUAAGCGUAGUAAUUCUUCUCGCUAUGGAGUCCUGGUGGAUGCUUGCCAUAAACCCCCAAUUUUUCUAUGGUUGACCUCGGAUCAGGUAGGGAUACCCGCUGAACUUAAGCAUAUCAAUAAGCGGAGGA